UACAGGACAGCCUGCAGUGGCCCCUGAUUUGGGUUUGUGUUCAGAGUGAGGCUUUUCCUUUGCUUGACUAAGCCAGGCCUAACAGCUCUGAAGCCCAGCAGUCACACACAGGCAUGAAACUGCUCACUCAGGCAGGACUCAAAAAUACAGGUUCUCAAGCAAGGUGGGAUGGCACACACUUGUAAUCCCAUCUACUCAGGAGGCUGAGGCAGGAGGACUGCACAUUCAAGGCUAGCCUGAAGAGCUCCACAAGACCCUGUCUUAAAUAAAAAGUGCUGGGGAUGUAGCUCAGUAGUAGAGUGCUUGUCUAGCAUCAUGUGUGAGGUCUUUGGUUCAAACCCCAGAUUGCACUCCCCGGCCAAAAUAAAACCAGAUUCACAAAAGGAGUAUGAGGCUACCCCAACACUGGAAAUUCUAAAUACUAACUUGCUGUUUCCCAAGGCAUAGAAACAAUCUGAGAAACAUUAGUCCUCUGCCUGCUCCACCCAUAUAGUCUGAGGAGGUCGGAGUCCUACACAGACAUAGAAAAAGAGUGAAGUAAGACAGCAGUCAAGUGGGGAAGACAGGGUUUCUUGUUAUGACAGGGACCUGAGCGCUCCUAACCAGCCCUUCUCAGUGCCCACCUGCCCCUAAGCCUGCUGCCUGCCCGAAGGCCCACCCCACUCCCCACCCCACUGUUUGAGCCCCAACUCGCUGCAGCUGACCCUGCUGCACCACUGGGCUGGCUGCACUGCAGUGCACGAUGGGGUCUUGGGUGUCAGUUCUGGCUGAGAAACCCAGUCCAGUUUUGGAGGAAGAGGAAACCAUUUCACAGGAAUUCUUUUGCAACCCAGAAUCAAAUCAUUUUAUGCUUCCCACAGAGUCCAGGCUCAAGAAUACAAAUGUAAAAUGAGAAAUACAGACUUUUUUUCAGUACUUAGGAUUGAACCCAGAGUCUUUGCACUGAGCUAUAUUUAUUUAUGCCCUUUAUUUUCUUUUUAAAUUUUGAGACAGGGUUUCACUAACUCACUAAGCUACCCAGAAUAGGCUUGAACUUGUCACCCUCCUGCCUCAGCCUCCCAGAGUGCUGGUAUUAGAGGUGUGUGCCACCAAGCCUGGCUAGAAAUGGACAUUGUCUCUGAAGAAAAUUUACAAGAAUCUGGCAUAAAGGGAAGGGUCGGGGAGGGGCAGGCCCAGGACAUUCAUCCCCCAGCUUCCAUGCUCAUGCAACAGGGUGACCUGAGAAACUACUCAGGCCAGGUCGGAAAGUUUACCCCAGUGUGGACCUUUGAAAAAGUGCUGGGAACCUUAGAAGAACAGUGUUUUUCAAACCAAAGGGUCAGGAUCCACUAGUAGGUUAUGGGACCAAUUUAGUGGGUCACAGCCGACAAUUAAAAAAAAAAAAGUAUCCGUUUGCAUUAUACCUAUUACUUUGCCUUUUCAACCUUUUCAGUUGCAUAUAUGAUAUACAUAUGCCCUGGGUCACUACGUAAAAUGUUUACUGUAGGUCACUGUCAAGAAGUUUGAGAAUCUCCUCCUAAGUCUGCCCCAUCCUGGGUCCAGCUUUUUGGGUUCUCUCUGGCCAGGAUUUUGGCCAGUUCCAUCCAGUACAGAGCUGUUCCCUCUCCCCAAGCAAAUUCACACAGAUCCAGCACUACCACAUUCAUGCUGGACAUUUUUUUGGGUAGAGACUCAGGACUCUGGCCUUCCUUAAAAUGUCACUGCCAGCUACAAUAGUAAAACCAGGAAGCCAGGCAUGGUGGUGCACGCUCGUCAUCCCAGUACUCAGGAGGCUGAAGCAAGAGAAUCACCAAGGAUUUGAGGUCAGCCUUGACUAUAUAGCGAGAUCCUGUCUCCAAACAACAACAAAACAACAACAACAACAAAAACAACAACAACAACAACUCCUCCCCUGUAAAACCAGGAAUGGCAUAAAAUGGGGCUUCCUGUUGCAGCUGGGCCACUCUUCUAGCCGCUUCCCAAGUCUAGUUUAGACCGGACUGGGGAUGUGAUCAGGAGGGACUCAGAUUGUGCCUGUGUAAGGACUCUCUCAGUGCAAUCGACCAUCAUGUGGCAGAGCCACUGAUAACCCAGCAAUCAGCACCGUCCACCCGAGGACAGAAGGCUUCACUAGCAAAACACACGUGGACGGGGGCUUCACGUGCUGGGUAAAAGAAAUGCUGGUCCCCAGCUAGGACUGCCGUCAAUUGUGUGCUCCAGAAGCCACUCCGCAGAAGCUCUGUAAGACCAGUGAGGAAGGUCCAUUUAGUCCAUAGCUUUUGAGCGUUCACUAUAGACUCAGGACAAGACAGGAAUAUCAAGACACAUUUGGAAUGUGUCUCGACUUUAGGGAACUGACAUUCAGAAGGGGAGACAACAUGAAACUAUGGCCAAAUGUUUAUUCACAAGUGAACCCAUUGCUGAGCUCCUGUCCCAGCAUGGCAGGCGGAGGAAGGCAGGAGGAGCCAGAUCAUACCCUAGAAACAAAAGCACUGGGACGCCUCCCCUUCCCUGGGGACCCUCCUUGCGGUCACACCCAGACUGAAGCACACGGUCAGGCGGCCAGGCAGCACAGCUCAGUGGAAACUGCAGCUGCAGCGCCUGCUUGCUGGGAUGGGUGGAGACUCGGCCUGCCCCAGGACAGAAAAAGGGAGCCGAGUUCAGCUGUCUGCUAAGUGGAGGGGGAAGGACUGCGGAGCAGUGCCUGGCGCGAGGCCAGGGCAGCAGGCCUGGUCUGCAGAUGCGGUAGUGCUUGAUAUGCGGUACAGGCUUGCCGUGGUGGGAGCCAGGAGUGAAGAAUGAACAUCUCUAGGAGGAGCAGGCCUCCCUCUGCAAGGACGAAGAGAGGCAGAAAACGGAACAGCACACUCGCACAUUCUGUGACCGGGCUAUCACCACCUAGCCAGUCCAUCUGAUUGUCCUUUUUUCUUUUCAGCACUGGGGUUUAACCCAGGGCCUCUGCACUGAGCUAUGUGCCCAGCACAACCCCCCUUCAUUUUGAGACACUAAGUUGCCCAGGCUAGUUUCAAAAACUUGCAGUCCUCCUUCCCGCCUUAGCCUCCCAGAGUGCUGGGAUUACAGGGAUGCGCCACCACACCUGGCUGAGGCUGUACCUUUUCCCAUGUGAUAGGCUGCCAUGCUGGGGCUACCAGGAAUUCCUGAGAGUACUCAGGGCUGGAGAGCCCAGGGCCUCAACACUGCCCUCUAGAUAACCCCACACCCUGCCCAUCUAUCUGAGGUCACAUUAGGGCGGUAGUCACAGGAACCUCACCCUGUGCCCGGGGAUGAUGCCACUCACUCUGCUUCUUUGGAUUCUCCAGGGAGGUACCACAAGGGAGAGAGGCAGUGCAGGGAGGCACUGCUCCCAGUGCUCCACUCCAGAGGUGGCUGGGGACAUAAUGUCCCGUUCAAGGUCGUCCAGGCACCAGGACUCCAGGGCCCGGCUAUUGCUAACCUGACUCUCAUCUGGCAUAUGCGGCGCCCCAGCCUGGCCCUAAUACCCGCGGAACAACUUAAGCCAGGAUGCCUAAGUGUGGGCCCUGGCCCCUGGCUGCAUCUUUCCUGAGCUCACUGGAAACACGGGUCCUCAGGCCCCACCCACCCCCUGGGAAGCUGCAAGUCAACAAGGCUUCCAGGUGAGCUGUGAGUCCCUGCACAUCCACAGCAGCAGCUCUUACCAUCAGGGGGAGCGGUUACAGGCUACACCAGGCUCACACUCCAGCCCCACUAUGAUGUUCCGGGCAAGCACUGAACACCGAGCUGCACUCCCAGCCCCUCCUGCCAUAAUAUUCUGUAAAGAGGCAUUUGGAAAAAGUCCCACAGUAAUUCUAAUACACAUUCCCAACCCCUGGCGACUCUGGUUGGCCUUUAAAGACAAGGGAGGAGAAGGGACACAGCUCCAUCCUUCUGAGCUGCUUCUGGAAAACCCUGGUUUUGAGGGGGAACAUCGGCAUUCGGCAGCCAUGAUCCCCAGGACAAGAGCAGCCUUGGAAGGACCACGUCUGAGUCCAGUGGGCAGGGCCUGCUUUCAGCCAUGAGAGAUCCCAUGUGGAGAAACACACCCUCACUGAGCCACACCAGCCUCCGCUCGCUUCUCAAACACCUGCAGUUACUAUUUCCAGGCAGAUGAAAUGAAUACCACUGGGGGUGCUGGUGUCACAGGGCACCAAUUGGCCUGGAGACUCCAGGACUGAGCAAAAUGGCUCCUGGGGGUUGAUGUCACUUCUCAGCUGGAUUAUUACAUCCAGGAACCUCAGCGACUCAUCCCUUCACCUCCACUUCUCCCAAGGCACACCAGCAUCUCAGGACAGUGAGCCAGGAUGAAAACACUAACUGAAAAGCACAAUCACAAGACUGGGAGAAGGCUCUGUUCACUUCUAUAGAUGCAGUGAGAUGAGACUAUAGCAGGGUGGAGGCCACAGGCUGCAAAGGACAGAUUUGUGUUCAGGGUAGAGGACACACAAGAAUCAGGUCCUGCUGGGGAUACAGCAUUGCCACUCCCCAGCUGCCAGACACCUCUUCAGGCAUGGGCAGCACUGGGCUGGACAAGCUCCUCCAGCUGCAGCUCCAGCGCUUCUGCCCCGAGUUCCCUUCUGCUACCUGCCAGGCAGCAGUCCUGCCAUGUGCCAGACCUCUGCUCUCCACAUAGGGACCAUCCGUUUGAAGCAUGAAUCCCCUCAGAUUCCCAAAGCAGGCCAGCUGAAAGUUAAAGACAUAUUGGCUCGUGGGGCCCAGGGCAGGGCCUGGACAAGGCUCCGGACAGGUUCUCUCCCAAGGAACUAACAGCUCACCUGGAGAAGCCAAAUGCACACAAAGUAACAUUUACAAUGACUGCAACAAGAUUCAGAAAUUAAUAUACAUGAUUUAGAUGCAGUACUUAAUUGGGGAGAUUUCAGAUAUACCAGGGAAGAUACCUAAAGAAAACCCAUAGGAAACCAUAUAGUAUGAACCCUCACACUGAUGUGGUCAAAAUUUCCUACCCCACCCCCUCUCUGAGCAGGGCCACACCCAGUUAUGAAUAUGGACAGAGCCUGAGGCAGAGCGCAUCAGUGUGCAGAGGUGACCUGGGCUGGACUUCAGGGGCUGUCACCAACACAUCUCAGCACAGAGUGCUACAAAGAGCUCUCAGCUACUGAAAGAAAUAACACCUCGAAGGCCACAUGGCAGGAAAUGGGUGAUCUCAGGCCCAGGUGAGAAUGGCAGGAGGCAAGAAAAGCAUCUGGGACUUCACCGACACCCCUGGGCACCUCAGAAGGAUGGUGUUAUCCUGCUCAGACACAGAGUUGCGUGCAGGGGGAGGGCAGAGCUGGGCCACACUGGCAGAGCCUCAAGCUUGGUCCUCCCCUGGGGACAGGACAGCCCUGUGGUGAACCUGUAGCAUCCUGAGGGAGAGAAGCUAGAGCACAGAGCAGGCCCGGGUCUUUGGAGGAUUGUGACCACACAAUUAUGCAUAAAACUUCCUUCCUCUUGGGAAUGUUCGGCCUCCAGAGGGCUCUCUGAUCUCCCACGGGAACUCAUCUCAUCACAGACCUGAAGGAGGGCACAUGCCAGGAGAGCAACAAGUGGAACUUACUUGAACUGCAGCAUACCUACUUCUGGAAGCUGUGCCCUACAACCAGCAACUGCAAGCACUGGAAUUAGGCCAGGAUGGGAUCAAGCACCUGCCCACGAGGCCAAGAUAGCCAUCAAAAUUAUGCGCAAAUACGCAGCCACCCAGAAUAUGGGAAAUGCUCACAGCUACAAGAUUCCUAGAACUGAGCCCAGCUGUAGGACAGCGCCACAAAAGGGAAGGAGCACUUGCUGUCACCUUGUGGUGGAUACCACACAGUGCAUCCCCCUCAUGGAAACGGCAACAUUGGACCCCGCCAGGACACAGGACACGACUGGAGGAACCUCAGCACCCCAUGGAUGAGUACAUCACAACUGAUGAAGUGGGCGGCACACUCAGCUGAGAAGGGCUGCUGCUUUCCUUAUUGGGUAAAUGCCAUGGCUUCCCUACCUCUAUUCCCCUCAGUUCCUGGGCCCUAAGAGGUGGCUGACAAGUCGCUGGGCUCUAAAGGACACCAGGAGGCCACAGCAGACUCGAGACAAAGAUCCUUCCCGUCUCCAAUGAACCGGUACCCAAAGGCUUGCUCCCAAGGACCACAGAUCCCAAGUGCAGAAAGAUGGACGGGAACGGGAAGACAUCUCUAGGCUCCACCACGCCCUUCCUUAAGGGACAACAGGCCCUGGGGGUGGGGGCAGGGAUGACAGUGACGGUUCUGAGCGCUCUGUGCAGGUGCUAAGUGAGGCACAGGCGCUCUCUCAAGCGCGCUGCAUGCCCUCCCUCCUUCACGCUUGCCCAGCUAUUUCAGUUACUUCACGCUCCAGUAACUGAAAUGGAGAUCAUGUGCAGAAGCCCAACUUACGUGAAGGACACAGGGAGAGGGUGUGAGCAGGAGGGGGUCCUGGGCCUGUGCUCAGGUCCCAUCUCUCCUCUCCCACGGGCUUGGCAGACAUAGGGCUUCCAACAAUUGCCUCUCAUUUAUGAUACGCUGCUCGCUUGCUGUAUGGUAGGCCAUUAUUCAGUCAUUCAGUCACUCAACAAACUAUUAGCUUGGCAGAUAAAGUGCCAGAUGCUAGUGAAACAUUCUCAGCCUUGAAAGGGUGGGAGGAUGCACCAGUAUAGGGCAAGUCUGAGCUGCCCUAGGGAACAGUCAUGGCUUUUCCACGUGGCUCAGUCCGGUGCACCCAAGUCUUUGCUCGAUGUAAUCUCCUCAGAAAGGGUUCUCCAGGGACUCCUUCUCAUUGUCUUCCCAUGCCUCGUGUGUUUCUCUACAGUGUUUCCUGUUCCCUACUCUGCAGUCCCUUCGUCCUUUGUUGUCUCCUGCUAGUGGGCUUUAGAACGUGAGCUCGGUAAGGCACUCCUGGCAAGUUCCUGGAACACUUCAGAAGGAGUCGAGAGAGACAUGCUGGAGGAGACGCCCUGAGAGUGGGACAGAUACCAAGAGAGCGUGGUCAGCAAUGGCCCAUGCUGCUGAGAGACCCAGUGCCCCAGAUGACAGCAGCUGGUGACCCUGGCUCAGUGGUCUCAGAAGGUGGUGCGGGCAGAAGCCUCACUGGCACGGCUGGAGAAGACCAGGGAGCCCAGGAAACAGGCUGGGGUGGAGCUCCUUCAGGAUCUAGGGCUAAAGAGGGAAGGGGAAGAGGUAGGUGAGGGGAUAAGGGUCUCUUUAAGAUAUUAAAAAUGGGGUCAGGCAGAAAUUGCAGAGGGAGUUUGGACAGAGGCUGCCAAGAGGUAACCAUGGAGACAGCCAGGGUGCGUGUCUAUGAAGGAGGCACAGCUCAGGAGAGGGACCUCCACACUGGCAGGCUCAGAUCAGGAACUCCGUUGCCUUUGCUGAUGGGUUUCCCAAUCGGCAGCUAGAGAUCUCCUGGCCGGGUAAGGCCAAGGCCAGAGUACGUGACAACAGCACCUGCUGCCAUCUCUGAGUGGCAGUCAGUCCUGUGGGGCCACAGCUGCUUCUAGCCGGUGCGUCCCUGGAGAGUCAAACACAGAUGACCAGCCGGAUCCUUGCAGACCCCUUCCAGCGGCGACCUUUAACUGUGUGAGCUCCCUCUCAAGACCCACAUCUCUGUGGUCUCCGAAGAGUAGCACGAACAGGCACACACAUCUGCACACAACCCAAGUCAGUAUCCCAGCCCAAUGGCUCAGCUCCAACCCCUAGCCCUGGCAGCUAUGGGUCCAAGGUGACAGUUCUGGGCAGUGUCUAUGGUACAGGCUCUGCAUACGGGAGGAGCUCGGGCACAGGUCUGUGCUUUCUCCCAGGUCUCAGGGGAGGGCGAGGGGCUGAGGAUGGCCACAGGCCAGAGAAUGGGGAGGCCCUCACCCUCAACUUCGGGCACCGUGAUGUGCUCCCUUUAUUCCCAACCCUAAGGCCAGACCUGCAUGCCAGUGACUCUUAUGAAACUGGGUUGAUGUUUUAGCUUUUUUUGCAAGGGGUAGGAAGAAAAAAGAAAAACAAGGAAAAGGAGCCAGUGGGGGUUAUUUCUUGUGCUUGUGUGAAUCCACUAUGUAGAUCAUGAUUUCCCGAUCCUCGUUAACAGUUACACACACACACACACACACACACACACACACACAGUGUUACAUUUUAAAAGUUACACCAAAGUAUUACAUUAAAACAAGAAUUACAAAAGAAAGAGUAUCAAAAACAGUGAGCCAGGCACAGUGGCACCCACCUAUAAUCCUAGCUAUUUGGGAGCCUGGGCAGGAAGUUCCAAAGUUUGAGGUCAGCCUGGGCAACGUGACUCAAAAAAGAAACAGUGGAGUAGGGUGGGACAGAGAACAAUAUUGGCACCCUUGGAACAACCCAAAAUUUCGUAGCUUUCAACUUCCUGACUGAUUGAAACCUGGGAAUUGAGUUCCAGGAAUCUACGUAGAAUUCCAGUUUAAGAAAGUCUUUUAAAUAUUAAUACUCAACCAUGACUCCUAACACAGCAGGCUCAAAUUCAUGCUUGCAAAGCCAGGAGACACACUACUACUUCCCGAUGCCCCAAGAGAGUGGCAAAGACUCAGGAGGUGCCCGUUUGCUUAGAUGCCGCAGUGAUCACACACAUUAUUUUAAGGCAUCUGUGUAGAAGUGAGCGGGCUGUUCACUUAACCAAGGUCUGAAUACAGUGGACCCUCAAGUUACAACAGGCCUGACAUACGAAUAAGUUGGGUUAAUUAGGUUAAUGGAAGAUUCAUCUGCCUCUUGUUAUCUAUAGCAUGUACCCAGGUAAAUAUCCAGAUCUCAGCUGUACUGACUUACAACCAACUUGAGUUACAACCAGCCCUUGGGAACUGUUGAGUUCAUAAGUCAAGGGUCCACUGUACAUGCUGGGAGGCUGGCACUGACAGAACAUCAGUGGAAACAGCGUUGGGGAGGGAAGUCCAGCAUUUAGGAAAACAGGAUCAAAAACUUAAUAAAAAGAAUGCAAACUAGUUUUUUAAAUAUUCACUUCAUAUUUUUUUUUUG